rnacentral:rRNA from 1 species
UGGGGAAUAUUGGACAAUGGGCGCAAGCCUGAUCCAGCCAUGCCGCGUGAGUGAUGAAGGCCCUAGGGUUGUAAAGCUCUUUCACCGGUGAAGAUAAUGACGGUAACCGGAGAAGAAGCCCCGGCUAACUUCGUGCCAGCAGCCGCGGUAAUACGAAGGGGGCUAGCGUUGUUCGGAUUUACUGGGCGUAAAGCGCACGUAGGCGGACUUUUAAGUCAGGGGUGAAAUCCCGGGGCUCAACCCCGGAACUGCCUUUGAUACUGGAAGUCUUGAGUAUGGUAGAGGUGAGUGGAAUUCCGAGUAUAGAGGUGAAGUUCGUAGAUAUUCGGAGGAACACCAGUGGCGAAGGCGGCUCACUGGACCAUUACUGACGCUGAGGUGCGAAAGCGUGGGGAGCAAACAGG